rnacentral:sRNA from 1 species
GCCGGGUACAGUCUGGUGUAUGCCUGUAAUCCCCGCAAUUUGGGAGGCUGAGAUAGGAGGAUCACAAAUUUGAGACCAGCUUGGCAACUUAGCAAGACCCUGUCUCAA